ACGCGUUAAGUGUUCCGCCUGGGGAGUACGCACGCAAGUGUGAAACUCAAAGGAAUUGACGGGGGCCCGCACAAGCGGUGGAGUAUGUGGUUUAAUUCGAUGCAACGCGAAGAACCUUACCAGGGUUUGACAUCCUGCGAAUCUCCUGGAAACGGGAGAGUGCCUUCGGGAACGCAGUGACAGGUGGUGCAUGGCUGUCGUCAGCUCGUGUCGUGAGAUGUUGGGUUAAGUCCCGCAACGAGCGCAACCCACGUCUUUAGUUGCCAGCAUUCAGUUGGGCACUCUAGAGAGACCGCCGGUGAUAAACCGGAGGAAGGUGUGGAUGACGUCAAGUCAUCAUGCCCCUUACAUCCUGGGCUACACACGUACUACAAUGCUACGGACAAAGGGCAGCAAACUCGCGAGAGCUAGCAAAUCCCAUAAACCGUGGCUCAGUUCAGAUCGUAGGCUGCAACUCGCCUACGUGAAGGAGGAAUCGCUAGUAAUCGCAGGUCAGCAUACUGCGGUGAAUACGUUCCCGGGCCUUGUACACACCGCCCGUCACACCAUGGAAGUUGGCCACGCCCGAAGCCGUUACUCCAACCCUUGUGGAGGAGGACGUCGAAGGUGGGGCUGAUGACUGGGGUGAAGUCGUAACAAGGUAACCAAGGGCGAA
rnacentral:rRNA from 1 species